rnacentral:rRNA from 1 species
UACAGAGGGUGCAAGCGUUAAUCGGAAUUACUGGGCGUAAAGCGUGCGUAGUCGGCUUUUUAAGUCGGGUGUGAAAUCCCCGGGCUCAACCUGGGAAUUGCAUUCGAUACUGGAUCGCUAGAGUUCGGCAGAGGGAAGCGGAAUUUCGGGUGUAGCGGUGAAAUGCGUAGAUAUCCGAAGGAACAUUAGUGGCGAAAGCGGCUUCCUGGACCAGAACUGACGAUCAGGCACGAAAGCGUGGGGAGCAAACAGG